rfam:Pan troglodytes isolate Yerkes chimp pedigree #C0471 (Clint) chromosome Y, whole genome shotgun sequence.
CUUGCUGAAUUUAAGCAUAUUAGUCAGCGGAGGAAAAGAAACUAACCAGGAUUCCCUCAGUAAGGGUGAGUGAACAGGGAAGAGCCCAGUGCUGAAUCCUCCCCCUGCACUGGGGCAUGGGAUAUGUGGUGUAUGGAAGACCCACUCCCUGGUGCUGCCCGUGGGGGGCCCAAAUCCUUCUGAUUGAGGCCCAGCCCGUGGAUGGUGUGAGGCCGGUAGUGGCCCCCCGCGUGCUGGGCCCAGGUUUUCCUGGAGUCGAGUUGCUUGGGAAUGCAGCCCAAAGUAGAUGGUAAACUCCAUCUAAGGCUAAUUACCUGCACGAGACCGAUAGUUAUGUACCAUAAGGGAAAGUUGAAAAGAACUUUGAAGAGAGUUCGAGAGGGGAUGAAACCAUUAAGAGGUAAAUGGCUGGCAUCUGUGCAGUCCGCCUGGAGGAUUCAACCUGGCCAUGGGUCCAG